GUUUCCUGGCUCUACCAGCUGCUGCUGCACCAGAGGGGCACACAGCGAGGACUCUGCCCCCUGUGUAUCCACCAAUGGGAUUGGAAGGACACAAGCACUGCAACCAGAAGGACAAAUGUGUGUGUAUGUCUCUUUCCCAGGCCUGACCAUCCAUGAGGCUGAAGACCUGUGGGUCUGGGACUGGCACCAGGACAGCAGGCUCCUGGGCUAUACGAACAUAGGCACGGUGCGGGAGGUUUUUGGACCCCUGUGGCUUUGCUUCAGCAAGUCUCCUUCUCGAGGUCUCUCUUGGAGGACUGAGAGAGUAUUAGGGUUCACAUACGUGAGCAUGAGGAGAACCUCUUUCGAGUUGUCUCCUUUUUCCUGAUUUUACUAGA